rnacentral:miRNA from 1 species
UCACCGGCGCUGCACACAAUG